UGGGGGCUAGCUCAGUGGUAGAGCCCUUGCCUAGCAGGUGAGAGGCCUGGGUUCCAUCCCCAGCACUGCAA
rnacentral:tRNA from 1 species